GUGCCCAGAAGGUGAACUGACCUGUGUAAUAAAGGAACAUAUAUGCACAGAUUUCUUCAUAAAAUUUACUAAUGAUAUACCUAAAUUUCAUUAAUCCUGGGGUUAAGGAUAUCAACAUUAAAAAGUAUACACAAAGUUUAAGAUAAAUUAUAAAUGAACCCUAUAUAAUCCGGUAUGUUUUCUUAAAGUGUUUAAUACAGUAAAUAGAAGACUUCAUUUAAUACUUUGACUUUUUAAAAGAUUUUUCUUUAUUCAUGAGAGAGACAGAGAGAGAGAGAGAGAGGCAGGCUCCCCACAGGGAGCCCGAUGCGGGACUCCAUCCUAGGAUCCCCAAAUCACGCCCUGAGCCAAAGGCAGAUGUUCAACCACUGAGCUACCCAGGCGUCCCUCAUUUAAUAGUUUUAAAAUAUACUUCCAAAGUGGUACUUUAUGACAUAGAAGCACAGAGCAGUCAAGGAAGAAAGCGAUUGAUGUGAGUUGGUUUUGUCAGCAAAAUGUUUCAGUUAGGAGGUGCUCCGAAUGCUGCAUUUUACACAAUGUUUAGAAGUUGUGUAGUUAAAAGGUGGAUAAAUAAAGUUGAGAGAAGUGAAAGACUAGAAACAAACCCACAGUAAUAAGGAAUAUGGCAAGCUUGUAAAUAAUGAUUGAUGUAGGACACACCAUAGAAAACUCAAAAACCAGGCAGAGAUAUGGGGCUUCAAGUUCCAAGUAACUGAAGCAGGGUAAUUUACUGCAAAGGCAGUGUGCAUUGACUGCUUCAUCCUAUAUUUCUUUAUAGUUCUGCUCAUCAUGCCUUGAUUCAAUAAUACUUUACAGCAGCAGAGAGUCAUAGCUUUUUGAUCAAUGUCUAAUCCUGUGUUUUAUCAAAAUUUAAACCCACUGUGAAAGAUACUAGCCAGUGUUCCAGAAGAAGAGAGGAGAGAAGUGUAACUUGGGGAACAGCUAACAAGGAAAGAUAACUUUCCUGCAAGCAGAUGAGUCUGUGUGCCCCGAAAGCACCACAUAAGCCAGGUAUUCUCUCAAAAAAAAAUAUUCUCAGAAUAUAUAUUGUUUCAUUUUUAGUUUUCAACCAAUGGGAGAUAUAAAGUUUAUAAACUGUGACUUUUGAACAUUUAUGGAAAUGAUAAAAAAAAGUUUUUCAUUAAUGUAGGAAAUUACUUGAAUAAUUCUAGAAUUCCUCCAAUAAGCCACACUUAUUAAAAAGCAUUCUAAAAAGAAUGAUGUAACCAUUUGUAGUUGUCCAUUUUGUGCUAUUUUUGUUGGGUUUUGAUAUCAAUAUCAUGAGAACAUCAUAAAAUUUAUAAACCUUUCCUCCCUUCAAAUAAUUUAAAUACCACUGAAAUUUUUAUUUCUUACAAGUUUAAUGGAAUUGCCCCCAUCAAAAUGACUGGUAUUAUUGCUCUCUCACAGAGUAGCUUUUCAACAAUUUUCUCUAUUUUAUUUACUGUAAUUGGUGAGUUUGAAUUCUGUCUUCUGAAGUCAAUUUUUGAUCAUUAUAGUUGCCUACAAAGUUAUAUAUUCCAUUCAUAUUCUAAAAUUUAUUUGCAUAGUAGAUCAAUAGGAUUCUUUUAACCAACGUGUGUGUGUGUGUGUGUGUGUGUGUGUGUGUGUGGCUAUUUUCUUAUCAACAUUUCUCCUUUUGUGAUUUUUGCUUUUUUUUUUUGUAUUCUUUUUAUCUAAAGGUUUAGCAUUCCCCUGCUCCAACCUUUUGUUGUACUAUUUUUUUUCUAAUUUUUUGUUUCUACCUUUAUUAUGCCUUGUUAUGCCUUUUUUGGAUUUGCUGUCCUAACUUCACUUAGGAAUUGCUGCUCACUUCACUUAGUUUCACUUUAUUUUGUUUACUAGUAUAUGCAUUUCAGAAAAUAAAUGUUCAUCUAAAAGCUGCUUUAACUCUAACUAGGGCUAUACCAUAGAAUGAUUAAGACUCCUACCCAUAGAGCUGGACUGCCUGGGUUCAAAUCCUAUUUUUUUAAUUGACUAGUUUUAAGAUUAGGAAGCAAGUCACUAUGCCUUGCUGUGGCUCUGUUUUUCUCAUUAAUACAACAUGGAUGAUAAUAGUUCCUUUGCUGAAAACUUAUGAGGAUUAAAUGGGUUACUAUUUAAAGCAAAACCUGACACCUAGUAGGAGUUUAAGAAAAGGUCUUAAAUAAAAUAAUUACAUGACAGGAUGUUUAAUCUCAACUUUAAAUUGUAUUUUGCUGAGUCACUAAAAAGGCCAAGCUAUAAGUUACAUACAAAGUGUAUGUCAAAUUUCUGAAUCUUAAGCAUAAUCCAAAAUCUAAAAAAAGCAUUGGGCCUGAUGGAAAUAUCUUGGACAAAGGAUAACUUUCUUGGUAACUAUGGAGAGUCAAGUCUAAUGGACCACCUGAUACCCUACAGUGAAUUGCUGCAUGAUCUAAUUAGAGGUGGUGGAAUAAAAAAAGCAAAAAUGACUGAGUUUUAUUUUCAUAAAAUGGCAAAAUAAUUGGAAUUUCAAACAACAAUUAUGUUGAUAUCAAGAAUAAAAACAGCUGUCAACUAUCCAUUAGGGCAUUAGAAUGAAAGAAACUAGAUUUAGCCUUCUGUCCCAAAUGGAUUAAAAAACAGACAAAUUUUAUAAAACAAGCUUUCAAGUGAUAGCAAUCCAGGACUAUUAUUGUUGAGUAAAGGGAGGAGAAAGGAGAACUCUAUAGAAUUCCAUCUCCUGUGCUGAGCUUGGCAAAUGUGAGAACUCUAAGUCUUAGAAAAGACUGACAGGAAGAAGUGAGCAAAAAACUACAAAGGCCAGGGAAAUGUUUGUUUCUACAAGCCAGAACAAAAAGACCUUGUAAUGCAUGAGUUUUGAAUAAAAUAUUCUAAAAAGUACUUGUAUAUUAGGGAUUCAAAGUUAACUCUGAAUUAAGUGUCUCUCUGCAUCUUCAACAAAAACAAACUUCAAAAGGGUUAAACUAAUUCCAAUU
rnacentral:lncRNA from 1 species